AGUGAACGCUGGCGGUAGGCCUAACACAUGCAAGUCGAACGGCAGCGCAGUAAGAGCUUGCUCUUACGGGUGGCGAGUGGCGGACGGGUGAGGAAUACAUCGGAAUCUACUUUUUCGUGGGGGAUAACGUAGGGAAACUUACGCUAAUACCGCAUACGACCUACGGGUGAAAGCAGGGGAUCUUCGGACCUUGCGCGAUUGAAUGAGCCGAUGUCGGAUUAGCUAGUUGGCGGGGUAAAGGCCCACCAAGGCGACGAUCCGUAGCUGGUCUGAGAGGAUGAUCAGCCACACUGGAACUGAGACACGGUCCAGACUCCUACGGGAGGCAGCAGUGGGGAAUAUUGGACAAUGGGCGCAAGCCUGAUCCAGCCAUACCGCGUGGGUGAAGAAGGCCUUCGGGUUGUAAAGCCCUUUUGUUGGGAAAGAAAAGCAGCAGGUUAAUACCCCGCUGUUCUGACGGUACCCAAAGAAUAAGCACAGGCUAACUUCGU
rnacentral:rRNA from 1 species